UGGGAUAUGGGGUAAUUGGCAGCCCGCCUGACUUUGGAUCAGGACAGUCUAGGUUCGAGUCCUAGUGUCCCAGC
rnacentral:tRNA from 1 species